rnacentral:rRNA from 1 species
UACGAAGGGGGGCUAGCGUUGCUCGGAAUCACUGGGCGUAAAGCGCACGUAGGCGGCUUACUAAGUCAGGGGUGAAAUCCUGGAGCUCAACUCCAGAACUGCCUUCGAUACUGGCGAUCUUGAGUCCGGGAGAGGUGAGUGGAACUCCGAGUGUAGAGGUGAAAUUCGUAGAUAUUCGGAAGAACACCAGUGGCGAAGGCGGCUCACUGGUCCGGUACUGACGCUGAGGUGCGAAAGCGUGGGGAGCAAACAGG